rnacentral:rRNA from 1 species
GACGAACGCUGGCUGCGUGCCUAACACAUGCAAGUCGAGCGAAUGAAGUUCCUUCGGGGACGGAUUUAGCGGCGGACGGGUGAGUAACACGUGGGCAACCUGCCUCAUAGAGGGGAAUAGCCUUCCGAAAGGGAGAUUAAUACCGCCUAAGAUUGUAGUGCCGCAUGAUACAGCAACUAUAGGAACAAUCCGCUAUGAUAUUGGCCCGCGGCGCCUUAGUUAGUUGGUGGGGUAACGGCCUACCAAGACGAUGAUGCAUAGCCGACCUGAGAGGGUGAUCGGCCACAUUGGGACUGAGACACGGCCCAAACUCCUACGGGAGGCAGCAGUAGGGAAUCUUCCGCAAUGGGCGAAAGCCUGACGGAGCAAUGCCGCGUGAGUGAAGAAGGCCUUCGGGUCGUAAAACUCUGUUAUAAGAGAAGAACAAAUUGUAGAGUAAUUGCUACAGUCUUGACGGUAUCUUAUCAGAAAGCCACGGCUAACUACGUGCCAGCAGCCGCCGUAA